CAUGAAGCUCCUGUUGACCAUAGUGGGAGAUCAAAGAGAUAUCACCGGGGCUGUAAGAGGACGGCCGAGGACAGUCCAACCAAUCGGUGGCCAGAAGCCGGGGGUAUCCUUCUUCAGGGGCUGAGCCUGGAACGGCUCGCAGUGGAGGCAGUGAAGACGGAAGAGCCGACCAAAGUCUCUGUACAGGAACAGCUCUGACUGACACGAGACCACCUCUGCUCACUCUCCACAUGUUCUGCCCUGCAAAAUGUGUGAGGAAGGAAUUACCUGGUUGUCUGAAGGCCCAUUCUUCCUCUGCAUCCAGGUGAACUCCACCUGCCCUGUCUGGGUCUGAUGGAAAGAAGGCAUGGCCAACAGAUCCACCCGCUCCAUCAAAGGGAUAUCCAUCUCCAUGAGGACCAUGCAAGAAAUCUAUUUGGAGAUCCGCCCCUUCUGGUCCUCGCACCUAUUUGAAAUAGUUUAACAUGUAGUCAAAAACAUGUACACAAAAACAUGAACGCAUAUUAAGGUCAAUGUGACUGAAAGUUUUAAAAAGUAGCCAUAACCUCAUGGAACUCAAGCAUUGUUGGAUCGGCCCACACUCGGAGUGCAUAGUACACAAGGGAGCGAAUCAUUUCACGGGACAGUUUAGAAGAUAAUGGGUAGAAACUGCUCUUUUCAUCCUUUGAUUUUCCAUAUCACUGUGUAAUGCUGAUAGCUGGAUGGUUUGAUCAUCCUCAUCCGGAAGUGAACAACGGGGUGUCUGCAUCAAUUGAACAGUCUCUUCAUCUGUGACGGAAAGCAAACCUCUGCAUUUUCUUCACUGCUUGAGUGACAGCUGUCCAGGCCUGUAACUGACCUGUAGAGGGAUCAGGGGGUGGGAGGUAUCCAUACUUGGUGAGCCAAUCCUGCCAAACAGAACAACAUUUUUGAAAGAAAUUAAUACUUUUAUUCCGCAAGGAUGCUUUUAAUUGAUCAGUAAACACUUCUAAACUGUUACAAGAGAUUUCUAUUUAAAAGAAUACUAUUUACAAUAAUGCUGAUAAAAUGAAUCCUGAAAAAAUACAUGACAGUUUCCAUAAAAAUAUUAAGCGGCCAAACUGUUCGACAUUGAUAACAAUAAAUGUUUCUUGAGCAGCAAAUC